rnacentral:rRNA from 1 species
GAUGAACGCUAGCGGCAGGCUUAACACAUGCAAGUCGAGGGGUAACAUAGAAAAGCUUGCUUUUCUGAUGACGACCGGCGCACGGGUGCGUAACGCGUAUACAACCUACCUUUUAGCGGGGAAUAGCCCAGGGAAACUUGGAUUAAUGCCCCAUAGUAUAUAGACUUCUCCUGAAGUUUAUAUUAAACAUUUAUGGCUAUUAGAUGGGUAUGCGUCCUAUUAGUUAGUUGGUAAGGUAACGGCUUACCAAGGCAGCGAUAGGUAGGGGUCCUGAGAGGGAGAUCCCCACACUGGUAUUGAGACACGGACCAGACUCCUACGGGAGGCAGCAGUGAGGAAUAUUGGACAAUGGGCGAGAGCCUGAUCCAGCCAUGCCGCGUGCAGGAAGACUGCCCUAUGGGUUGUAAACUGCUUUUACAGAGGAAGAACCACCCCCACGUGUGGGGGUUUGACGGUACUCUGCGAAUAAGGAUCGGCUAACUCCGUG